CACAGGGCAGCUGGAACACCGCAGGCAUUAAUAAUGCAGAGCAGCCCUACAAGAGACCCAAGCCACUGCAAUGACGGGAAGGAACAACAUGUGGGAAUGCAGAGCCCAGAAGCCACAUUGUUCACAAAUAAGAAUAGCAAAUGGAGAGAAGAAAUGAGGACAGACUACCUGCUUUAAUCUACAGACACAGCAAAAUGUAAC